AAACUCUAUGAAAGGAGAGAUGGUUGGCAUCUCCCCUGACAGGGACACAUCCGGUUAAGCCCUACCCACCUCGGUGGAUCUCUAACCCAAUUUUUCU